rnacentral:rRNA from 1 species
ACGGGUGAGUAAUGUCUGGGAAACUGCCUGAUGGAGGGGGAUAACUACUGGAAACGGUAGCUAAUACCGCAUAACGUCGCAAGACCAAAGAGGGGGACCUUCGGGCCUCUUGCCAUCAGAUGUGCCCAGAUGGGAUUAGCUAGUAGGUGGGGUAACGGCUCACCUAGGCGACGAUCCCUAGCUGGUCUGAGAGGAUGACCAGCCACACUGGAACUGAGACACGGUCCAGACUCCUACGGGAGGCAGCAGUGGGGAAUAUUGCACAAUGGGCGCAAGCCUGAUGCAGCCAUGCCGCGUGUGUGAAGAAGGCCUUCGGGUUGUAAAGCACUUUCAGCGGGGAGGAAGGGGGUAAGGUUAAUAACCUUAUUCAUUGACGUUACCCGCAGAAGAAGCACCGGCUAACUCCGUGCCAGCAGCCGCGGUAAUACGGAGGGUGCAAGCGUUAAUCGGAAUUACUGGGCGUAAAGCGCACGCAGGCGGUCUGUCAAGUCGGAUGUGAAAUCCCCGGGCUCAACCUGGGAACUGCAUUCGAAACUGGCAGGCUAGAGUCUUGUAGAGGGGGGUAGAAUUCCAGGUGUAGCGG